CUUAAUGAACCCCAACAGUACCUAUAGCACCAUACCUCCCACACCACGUUUGAUAUUUUCCUGACAUAAUUCUCUGUUACAGUCCCCCUUGUCCUCUGCUCAUCAUAUCGACUAUCUUUCAGUAUGCUAAUGUGAAAUGCUUUAGCACAGAGACAAAUCUCCAAAGCUGCAGGGUUAUCGUGGGCCUUGGCCAUUCAGUGCCUAUAAGUGCAGUCAGUACUGCAUUGAUGACUGUGUUCAGUGAUGAGCAUGGCAUUGACUAUGACGGAAAGGUGACACGAGCAGGAAUUUGUAGCUGGCCAGGAUCCAGUGGAGAUCUAUUGAAUUCGACCUUCAGCUCGGCGGAGAGCAGCCUCAACCACUCGGAGUUCUGGACGACUGUAGAGGAGAGCCAUGGCACAUUUGUCUGCAAACAAGGAGAAAUUGUGUGUGUGCUCCCGAAUGAAAUGUGUGACAGAUACCCCACACCUCCUCUCACUUCACCCAGCCCAAUAGCCAACAUUACUUUACCUGCAACAACAACACUGCCUCCUCCACCCAACACCACUCUACAACAAAACACCACCUCCCUCCCACUGAACACAACAUUACCUCCACCAAACAGCACCUCUACAGCGCCAAAUACUCCAACAUCAGCUCCAAAUACUACAUCAGCAGCUCCAAAUACUACAUC